UACGUAGGGUGCAAGCGUUAAUCGGAAUUACUGGGCGUAAAGCGUGCGCAGGCGGUUAUGUAAGACAGAUGUGAAAUGCCCGGGCUUAACCUGGGAACUGCAUUUGUGACUGCAUGGCUAGAGUUUGGCAGAGGGGGGGUAGAAUUCCACGUGUAGCAGUGAAAUGCGUAGAUAUGUGGAGGAACACCGAUGGCGAAGGCAGCCCCCUGGGUCAAGACUGACGCUCAUGCACGAAAGCGUGGGGAGCAAACAAGG
rnacentral:rRNA from 1 species